rnacentral:lncRNA from 1 species
GGACAUUACUAGUCAGGUGAGAUGUAGAGGACAUUACUAGUCAGGUUAGAUGUAGAGGACAUUACUAGUCAGGUAGGAUUUUUUUUUUUUGGUAGAGCUAUAUCCAGGUUAGAAACGAGUGACUACUACCGCUUUCACUUCCUAAUCA